GGUUAGUACUUUGAUGGAAAAAAAAAAAUCUCGUCUGAUCUCGGAAGCUAAGCAGGGUCGGUCCUGGUUAGUACUUGGAUGCGAGACCGCCUGGGAAUACCAGGUGCUGUAAGCU
rnacentral:rRNA from 1 species